UACGGGGGGAGCAAGCGUUGUUCGGAUUUACUGGGCGUAAAGGGCGCGUAGGCGGCCACCGCAAGUCGACUGUGAAAUCUCCGGGCUUAACUCGGAAAGGUCAGCCGAUACUGCGGGGCUAGAGUGCAGAAGGGGCAACUGGAAUUCUCGGUGUAGCGGUGAAAUGCGUAGAUAUCGAGAGGAACACCUGCGGCGAAGGCGGGUUGCUGGGCUGACACUGACGCUGAUGUGCGAAAGCCAGGGGAGCGAACGGG
rnacentral:rRNA from 1 species